UACGUAGGGGGCUAGCGUUGUCCGGAUUUAUUGGGCGUAAAGAGCGUGUAGGCGGCCUGACAGGUCUGCUGUGAAAACUCGAGGCUCAACCUCGAGAUGUCGGCGGAAACCGUCUGGCUAGAGUCCGGAAGAGGAGAAUGGAAUUCCUGGUGUAGCGGUGAAAUGCGCAGAUAUCAGGAAGAACACCCGUGGCGAAGGCGGUUCUCUGGGACGGUACUGACGCUGAGACGCGAAAGCGUGGGGAGCGAACAGG
rnacentral:rRNA from 1 species